UACGGAGGAUGCGAGCGCUAUCCGGAUUUAUUGGGUUUAAAGGGUGCGCAGGCGGCACGGCAAGCCGGCGGUCAAAUCGCGGGGCUCAACCCCGCCCAGCCGUCGGAACUGCCGGGCUAGAGUGGGCGAGAAGUGCGCGGAAUGCGUGGUGUAGCGGUGAAAUGCAUAGAUAUCACGCAGAACUCCGAUUGCGAAGGCAGCGCACCGGCGCCCUACUGACGCUCAGGCACGAAAGCGUGGGUAUCGAACAGG
rnacentral:rRNA from 1 species